GUUGUAUAAGCUUUAUAGGUGAAGCUUCCGUUUUGUAAUCGGAGGAUUAUAGGUUCAAGUCCUAUAUACAACA
rnacentral:tRNA from 1 species